rnacentral:rRNA from 1 species
UACGAAGGGACCUAGCGUAGUUCGGAAUUACUGGGCUUAAAGAGUUCGUAGGUGGUUGAAAAAGUUAGUGGUGAAAUCCCAGAGCUUAACUCUGGAACUGCCAUUAAAACUUUUCAGCUAGAGUAUGAUAGAGGAAAGCAGAAUUUCUAGUGUAGAGGUGAAAUUCGUAGAUAUUAGAAAGAAUACCAAUUGCGAAGGCAGCUUUCUGGAUCAUUACUGACACUGAGGAACGAAAGCAUGGGUAGCGAAGAGGAUUAGAUACCCUCGUAGUCCAUGCCGUAAACGAUGUGUGUUAGACGUUGGAAAUUUAUUUUCAGUGUCGCAGCGAAAGCGAUAAACACACCGCCUGGGGAGUACGACCGCAAGGUUAAAACUCAAAUGAAUUGACGGGGACCCGCACAAGUAGUGGAGCAUGUGGUUUAAUUCGAAGAUACGCGCAGAACCUUACCAACACUUGACAUGUUCGUCGCGACUCUAAGAGAUUAGAGUUUUCGGUUCGGCCGGACGAAACACAGGUGCUGCAUGGCUGUCGUCAGCUCGUGUCGUGAGAUGUUGGGUUAAGUCCCGCAACGAGCGCAACCCUCACCUUUAGUUGCCAUCAUUAAGUUGGGCACUCUGAAAGAACUGCCAGUGAUAAGCUGGAGGAAGGUGGGGAUGACGUCAAGUCCUCAUGGCCCUUACGUGUUGGGCUACACACGUGCUACAAUGGUAUCUACAACAGGAAGCAAGACUGCGAGGUCAAGCAAAUCCUUAAAAGAUACCUCAGUUCGGAUUGCACUCUGCAACUCGAGUGCAUGAAGCUGGAAUUACUAGUAAUCGUGGAUCAGCGUGCCACGGUGAAUGCGUUCCCGGGUCU